UCUACAGGCUUAACACAUGCAAGUCGAGGGGCAGCAUUUUAGUUUGCUUGCAAACUGAAGAUGGCGACCGGCGCACGGGUGAGUAACACGUAUCCAACCUGCCGAUAACUCCGGAAUAGCCUUUCGAAAGAAAGAUUAAUACCGGAUAGCAUACGAAUAUCGCAUGAUAUUUUUAUUAAAGAAUUUCGGUUAUCGAUGGGGAUGCGUUCCAUUAGUUUGUUGGCGGGGUAACGGCCCACCAAGACUACGAUGGAUAGGGGUUCUGAGAGGAAGGUCCCCCACAUUGGAACUGAGACACGGUCCAAACUCCUACGGGAGGCAGCAGUGAGGAAUAUUGGUCAAUGGGCGAGAGCCUGAACCAGCCAAGUAGCGUGAAGGAUGAAGGCUCUAUGGGUCGUAAACUUCUUUUAUAUGGGAAUAAAGUUUUCCACGUGUGGAAUUUUGUAUGUACCAUAUGAAUAAGGAUCGGCUAACUCCGUGCCAGCAGCCGCGGUAAUACGGAGGAUCCGAGCGUUAUCCGGAUUUAUUGGGUUUAAAGGGAGCGUAGGUGGAUUGUUAAGUCAGUUGUGAAAGUUUGCGGCUCAACCGUAAAAUUGCAGUUGAAACUGGCAGUCUUGAGUACAGUAGAGGUGGGCGGAAUUCGUGGUGUAGCGGUGAAAUGCUUAGAUAUCACGAAGAACUCCGAUUGCGAAGGCAGCUCACUAGACUGUCACUGACACUGAUGCUCGAAAGUGUGGGUAUCAAACAGGAUUAGAUACCCUGGUAGUCCACACAGUAAACGAUGAAUACUCGCUGUUUGCGAUAUACAGUAAGCGGCCAAGCGAAAGCAUUAAGUAUUCCACCUGGGGAGUACGCCGGCAACGGUGAAACUCAAAGGAAUUGACGGGGGCCCGCACAAGCGGAGGAACAUGUGGUUUAAUUCGAUGAUACGCGAGGAACCUUACCCGGGCUUAAAUUGCAACAGAAUAUAUUGGAAACAGUAUAGCCGUAAGGCUGUUGUGAAGGUGCUGCAUGGUUGUCGUCAGCUCGUGCCGUGAGGUGUCGGCUUAAGUGCCAUAACGAGCGCAACCCUUAUCUUUAGUUACUAACAGGUUAUGCUGAGGACUCUAGAGAGACUGCCGUCGUAAGAUGUGAGGAAGGUGGGGAUGACGUCAAAUCAGCACGGCCCUUACGUCCGGGGCUACACACGUGUUACAAUGGGGGGUACAGAAGGCGGCUACCUGGUGACAGGAUGCUAAUCCCAAAAACCUCUCUCAGUUCGGAUCGAAGUCUGCAACCCGACUUCGUGAAGCUGGAUUCGCUAGUAAUCGCGCAUCAGCCAUGGCGCGGUGAAUACGUUCCCGGGCCUUGUACACACCGCCCGUCAAGCCAUGAAAGCCGGGGGUACCUGAAGUACGUAACCGCAAGGAGCGUCCUAGGGUAAAACUGGUAAUU
rnacentral:rRNA from 1 species